rnacentral:rRNA from 1 species
AACGAACGCUGGUGGUAUGCUUAAUACAUGCAAGUCGAACGGGCAUAGCAAUAUGUCAGUGGCAGACGGGUGAGUAACGCGUGGGAAUCUACCGUGCCCUACGGAAUAGCUCCGGGAAAAUGGAAUUAAUACCGUAUACGCCCUACGGGGGAAAGAUUUAUCAGGGUAUGAUGAGCCCGCGUUGGAUUAGCUAGUUGGUGGGGUAAAGGCCUACCAAGGCGACGAUCCAUAGCUGGUCUGAGAGGAUGAUCAGCCACAUUGGGACUGAGACACGGCCCAAACUCUUACGGGAGGCAGCAGUGGGGAAUAUUGGACAAUGGGCGCAAGCCUGAUCCAGCCAUGCCGCGUGAGUGAUGAAGGUCUUAGGAUUGUAAAGCUCUUUCACCGGUGAAGAUAAUGACGGUAACCGGAGAAGAAGCCCCGGCUAACUUCGUGCCAGCCGCCGCGGUAA